GACGAACGCUGGCGGCGUGCUUAACACAUGCCAGUCGAACGGUGAAGCGCCUUCCUUUUUGGUGGGUGUGGAUGAGUGGCGAACGGGUGAGUAACACGUGAGUAACCUGCCCCCUUCUUCUGGAUAACCGCAUGAAAGUGUCGCUAAUACGGGAUAUUCUGGGUCUGUCGCAUGAUGGGUCUGGGAAAGAUAUUGUUUCGGUGGGGGAUGGGCUCGCGGCCUAUCAGCUUGUUGGUGGGGUGAUGGCCUACCAAGGCGGUGACGGGUAGCCGGCCUGAGAGGGUGGACGGUCACACUGGGACUGAGACACGGACCAGACUCCUACGGGAGGCAGCAGUGGGGAAUAUUGCACAAUGGGCGAAAGCCUGAUGCAGCGACGCCGCGUGAGGGAUGGAGGCCGUCGGGUUGUGAACCUCUUUCGCCAGUGAAGCAGGCCUGCCUCGUUUGUGGGUGGGUUGACGGUAGCUGGAGAAGAAGCGCCGGCUAACUACGUG
rnacentral:rRNA from 1 species